GGGCCGAUGGAAAGGAGAGAGGGUUGUAGCUGGCGUAAGCACGUGCACGCCCUCUUUCUCGACCUAGGUCCUUAUGGGCGCGGGGCGACCCGCGUCUUCAUAAGCCCCUUCGUGUAGAAAGUCUAUGAAUGUUUUUACCAUCAUCGACUCGCGACUUCUAGGAGACGCGAUUCUUUGAGACAAAAGUUAUUACAACUUUCAGCAAUGGAUCUCUUGGCUCUCGCAUCGAUGAAGAACGCAGCGAAUCGCGAUAUGUAAUGUGAAUUGCAGAUCUACAGUGAAUCAUCGAAUCUUUGAACGCACCUUGCGCUUAUCGGUGUUCCGAUGAGCAUGCCUGUUUGAGCGUCAUUAAAUUCUCAACCCCUCUCGAUUUGCUUCGAGAGGGUGCUUGGAUAGUGGAGGCUGCCGGAGACCUGUUUUUUCAGGACUCGGGCUCCUCUGAAAUGUAUUGGCUUGCGGUCGACUUUCGACUGUGCAUGACAAGGCCUUUGGCGUGAUAAUGAUCGCCGCUCGCCGAAGUGCACGAACGAAUGGUCUCGUGCCCCUAAUCAGUCGAUGUCUUUUCGAAGGCGUCUUCCUUAUUGACGUUUGACCUCAAAUCAGGUAGGACUACCCGCUGAACUUA
rnacentral:rRNA from 1 species